CCUACGGGUGGCUGCAGUGGGGAAUAUUGGACAAUGGGCGAAAGCCUGAUCCAGCCAUGCCGCGUGUGUGAAGAAGGCCUUCGGGUUGUAAAGCACUUUCAGUGGGGAAGAAAGCCUUGGGGCUAAUACCCUCGAGGAAGGACAUCACCCACAGAAGAAGCACCGGCUAACUCCGUGCCAGCAGCCGCGGUAAUACGGAGGGUGCGAGCGUUAAUCGGAAUUACUGGGCGUAAAGCGCGCGUAGGCGGUCUGAUAAGCCGGUUGUGAAAGCCCCGGGCUCAACCUGGGAACGGCAUCCGGAACUGUCAGGCUAGAGUGCAGGCGAGGAAGGUAGAAUUCCCGGUGUAGCGGUGAAAUGCGUAGAGAUCGGGAGGAAUACCAGUGGCGAAGGCGGCCUUCUGGACUGACACUGACGCUGAGGUGCGAAAGCGUGGGUAGCAAACAGGAUUAGAUACCCGGGUAGUC
rnacentral:rRNA from 1 species